AUGGAGCGGUUCGAGAGAGAGAGGAUUGGAGAAUGGCUCGGUCGAGUGUUGAGGUGGGGCGGUGCUCGCGGUCUGAGUUGUAGUGAACGUCGUUGCUGGAAACGAUUGGAGCAGUGGAAUUUGGAUAAGACAACGAUUGGGUCUUGUGAGGUUACCGAGUUUGCAGGAGAAUUUGGCUUGGGAUCACAAAGCAAUGACUGGAUAGAAGUGAGAAUUGCAGCUACAUCAUAUAGGACUCCACCGAUUUGCAAUAUAUCCAGGCAAAUGCUUCCAUCAGCAUAA